AUGAAUCUAAAAGUGAGAGAUGCACACCUGACCGCAGAGAAACACACGGCAGUAUGUGAGAGAUUUGGAUGCAGAGCUCCACCAACUCUCUCUCUCUCUCUCUCACACACACACACACACACACACACACACACACACACACACACACACACACUAUGCAGGGGUUUUCUGGUUACAGAAUCCCGAAUGACUGUAAUGCCACUUCACUUAUACAUCCAGACCAGAACAAAUACCACAGACACUGAACACACACAUUCUGAUGUCUGUGUUGAUACAGAGGUCAAACUAGAGGUCAAACUAGAGGUCACAGCUGCAGUAGUUGGUCCUGUAAUAAAACAUCAGCACAUAAUCACCUGCUCCCUCUUAAUAUUAAUUACUGCAGAGAUAAUUAAUCGUUUUAAAG
ensembl:lncRNA